AACUUUCAUGUUGGAGAAAUUUUCAAAUGGAGCUUUUAUCCUGAUGGAAGAUGGGCUUAAAGUGAGUGCAACAAUCAUGAAAACUUGCCCUAAAUGGAAAGUCAACCAUUUCCAAAUUAAGUAACUUUACCAAUUCCUGAUUAAAUGAUGAAUCCAUGAUCCAACCUUGAUCAAAUUUCACACGUAGGAUCCCAUAGGCAUGAAUUUUUGAGAUUC
rnacentral:lncRNA from 1 species